rnacentral:rRNA from 2 species
GGACUACUCGGGUAUCUAAUCCUGUUUGCUCCCCACGCUUUCGCACCUCAGUGUCAGUGUUGGACCAGGAAGCCGCCUUCGCCACUGAUGUUCCUCCAGAUAUCUACGCAUUUCACCGCUACACCUGGAAUUCCGCUUCCCUCUUCCACACUCUAGUAAGACAGUCUUGAAUGCAAUUCCCAGGUUAAGCCCGGGGAUUUCACACCCAACUUAUCAAACCACCUACGUGCGCUUUACGCCCAGUAAUUCCGAUUAACGCUUGCACCCUCUGUAUUACCGCGGCGGCUGGCAC